UGCGGAAGGAUCAUUAUUG
rnacentral:rRNA from 2 species